rnacentral:rRNA from 1 species
AGUGAACGCUGGCGGUAGGCCUAACACAUGCAAGUCGAACGGCAGCACAGUAAGAGCUUGCUCUUACGGGUGGCGAGUGGCGGACGGGUGAGGAAUACAUCGGAAUCUACUUUUUCGUGGGGGAUAACGUAGGGAAACUUACGCUAAUACCGCAUACGACCUACGGGUGAAAGCAGGGGAUCUUCGGACCUUGCGCGAUUGAAUGAGCCGAUGUCGGAUUAGCUAGUUGGCGGGGUAAAGGCCCACCAAGGCGAGGAUCCGUAGCUGGUCUGAGAGGAUGAUCAGCCACACUGGAACUGAGACACGGUCCAGACUCCUACGGGAGGCAGCAGUGGGGAAUAUUGGACAAUGGGCGCAAGCCUGAUCCAGCCAUACCGCGUGGGCGAAGAAGGCCUUCGGGUUGUAAAGCCCUUUUGUUGGGAAAGAAAAGCAGCAGGUUAAUACCCCGCUGUUCUGACGGUACCCAAAGAAUAAGCACCGGCUAACUUCGUG